rnacentral:lncRNA from 1 species
AAGAAUUAAGACUUGUUGGUUAGGAUUAAUGGUUCGGAAGGACCUAAGUGAGUUUCUACGUUUUAAAGACAGUAUUGAGCUUAGUAAUUUGGUGGUUAAGUAUUAGUUAUCUUUAGGUAUUGUGUUCAAGUCCUCUUGUGUGAUAAGUGGGAAUUAUUUUAAUUUCUUUAAAAACAAAUCUCAUUGGUUUGUUAAAGAUUAUUUAAAUUAUUUUAUUUUAUUUUUCUAAUUUAGAGAAAAGUUAGGAAAUCCCAAAAUUUUGCUCACGUUCCUCCAUUUUCUCAUCCUCUCUCUCACGUCAGUCACCCUCUCUCUUUUCCAAUUCUAAAUUUGUGUUUCCUUUUUGCCAUUAAUUUUUCUUCUUGAUUCUUUAUUUUGUUGUUUUUUCUUUGGUUGCUACCGUUCACUUGCUGCAAGGGUUUUACUAUUUUUGAGUCGUUCCUUUUGUUACAAGAAUUUUUGCCGAUUUCCGCUUCUCAAGACUUUCUUUGUGUUCUUGUUUCGUUCAAUCAGGAUCUUUAGGGGUAAGUAAUGUUGUUUAGGUUUCUAUCAAUUGUGUUUGGAAUAUUCUAUUAUGUUGCAAAUGAAAACUUUCUUGGUUUUUGAGUACUUGUGUAAAUUGAGUUUUCAGUUCGGUUUGGUGGUGACGAAUCAUUCGAUUCUUGGUGCUGGGAAUAGCAUAUUUCAGGUGUGUUUCUCAAACAUUAGUAAUUAGGGAUGAGUUUUGUGGUCCUGUUCAAUUUUUGCAGUUUUCACUCUUUAUUCGCAAAUUGACUCGUUUGGGUCCCGGAGAAAUCCGUUGCUCGUUUAAACCUCUGUAGGAGUGUGGGACUUCGUUAAGUUAUAUCAUAUGUGUGUUGCACUUAAGUCAUAUCAUGCUACCAUGCCGUGUUUGUAUACUAAUUUUACACUAAAUAUGUCGAUGUUGUUUGUCAUUUUGUGCUGGAAUGGGCUGUUGUUCGCAUGUUGAUUUUUCGUGAAAAUACCCUACCGUUGUAAUAAACAUUUUGCUGCUAUUUUUGUUGAGUAAAUGUCGCAUAUGUGUGCACAUUUUGUUGUUGUUUUUGUUGAGUAAAAUGCCGCAUAUGUGUGCACAUCUGCUGCUGCUUUUUGAUGAGUUUAAUGAUGCAUAUAUGAGCCUAGUUGUUGUUGUUGUUUUUAGUACGUAAAAUGCCACAUAUGUGGUUGGUUUUUGCUGUUGUUUUGGUGCGUAAACAUUGUGCAUAUAUGUGAAGUGGGCUACUGAUUUCUUAUUUGGGAAGGAUGUUUUUGUGAUAAGUUUGUUCGCUGAAUUAUAACUAUAGCAUGAUAUGUUACUAUGUAUGUAUGACAUUUCGUAUCUGCAUUUGGGUUUGGGUUUUGUUUGAAGAGAAGGAGCUUGAUUUGGCAGUAUUACUGCGUUAUUAAAAUAUGGCAGGGAUAUCGCAAUCAUAUGAGCAGCUUGACUGCAUAAUAACUCGAGUGGAAAAUGACCACAAUAAGGUGUGUUCGGUUGGAUGGGUCCACCAUAACUCAUAUAUUGGUGUGUAGAGGUUGGAAAGGGUUAGUAUACCCUAUUUGGUGUGUGACAGAUGGUUGAAAAUGGUGUGUAGAGGCUAGAUAGGUUGAUAUUGGGACUGGUACAUGUGUGUAUGAAUUAUAUUUGUUCUGUUUUUGAGUAAGUACUUCACUUAUGAUUGUCUGAUUAUGAAAUGAGCUAAGCAAUUGCAAGUGUGAGAGCAACUUCACGUGAUUACAUUUUGCAUAUUCGUUAUGUGAUAUGAUAAUGUGAUACGGCAAACUGUUAUGAUUUCUGUUAAUGUUAUGAUUAAGUUAAUUUUAAUUCCAACCAUCUGUUCGACUCUGUUUUAUUAUUUGUGUUCGUUGUCUUGUUCUGUCACUGCCUUUAGACUCACACUGAGCUUAGGUAGCCCAUUUCCUUAGUUUACUCCUUUUUAGGUAAUUCACCAGGUUAGGUCCUGGACUCAGCGAACUGGUGGUCUCAGAGUGGUAUGAAAUUUGGACCGGACUUUUGAAAAGCUACAUAUUCUUUAAUUGAAACUAAAUUUGCGAUUUCGUGCAUGUUAUGUUUAUUUUCAGUUUAAGUUACCUUAGUGUUUAGAGCAUGAGCAUAAAUUUUAAAACUGUUUUGCUUAAAUAAACACUCAAAUUUUUUAAUGUUAAACUUGCGAAUUAUAGAAAAAUGAUGGUUUUCCG